AGGUAAGCUACUAAGAGCGAAUGGUGGAUGCCUUGACUGGUAAAGGCGAUGAAGGACGUACUAGACUGCGAUAAGCUACGGGGAGCUGUCAAGAAGCUUUGAUCCGUAGAUUUCCGAAUGGGGCAACCCAAUGUAUAGAGAUAUACAUUACCUAUAUAGGAGCGAACGAGGGGAAUUGAAACAUCUUAGUACCCUCAGGAAAAGAAAUCAAUAGAGAUUGCGUCAGUAGCGGCGAGCGAAAGCGCAAGAGGGCAAACCCAGUGCUUGCACUGGGGGUUGUAGGACUGCAAUGUGCAAGAGGUAAGUUUAGCAGAACAUUCUGGAAAGUAUAACCAUAGAGGGUGAUAGUCCCGUAUGCGAAAAACAAACCUUAGCUAGCAGUAUCCUGAGUAGGGCGGGACACGAGGAAUCCUGUCUGAAUCCGGGUCGACCACGAUCCAACCCUAAAUACUAAUACCAGAUCGAUAGUGCACAAGUACCGUGAGGGAAAGGUGAAAAGAACUGAGGUGAUCAGAGUGAAAUAGAACCUGAAACCAUUUGCUUACAAUCAUUCAGAGCCCUAUGUAGCAAUACAGGGUGAUGGACUGCCUUUUGCAUAAUGAGCCUGCGAGUUGUGGUGUCUGGCAAGGUUAAGCAAACGCGAAGCCGUAGCGAAAGCGAGUCUGAAUAGGGCGCUUAGUCAGAUGCUGCAGACCCGAAACGAAGUGAUCUAUCCAUGAGCAAGUUGAAGCUAGUGUAAGAACUAGUGGAGGACUGAACCCAUAGGCGUUGAAAAGCCCCGGGAUGACUUGUGGAUAGGGGUGAAAGGCCAAUCAAACUUCGUGAUAGCUGGUUCUCUCCGAAAUAUAUUUAGGUAUAGCGUUGUGUCGUAAUAUAAGGGGGUAGAGCACUGAAUGGGCUAGGGCAUACACCAAUGUACCAAACCCUAUCAAACUCCGAAUACCUUAUAUGUAAUCACAGCAGUCAGGCGGCGAGUGAUAAAAUCCGUCGUCAAGAGGGAAACAACCCAGACUACCAGCUAAGGUCCCUAAAUCUUACUUAAGUGGAAAACGAUGUGAAGUUACUUAAACAACCAGGAGGUUGGCUUAGAAGCAGCCAUCCUUUAAAGAAAGCGUAAUAGCUCACUGGUCUAGUGAUUUUGCGCGGAAAAUAUAACGGGGCUAAAGUAAGUACCGAAGCUGUAGACUUAGUUUACUAAGUGGUAGGAGAGCGUUCUAUUUGCGUCGAAGGUAUACCGGUAAGGAGUGCUGGAGCGAAUAGAAGUGAGCAUGCAGGCAUGAGUAGCGAUAAUUAAUGUGAGAAUCAUUAACGCCGUAAACCCAAGGUUUCCUACGCAAUGCUCGUCAUCGUAGGGUUAGUCGGGUCCUAAGUCGAGUCCGAAAGGGGUAGACGAUGGCAAAUUGGUUAAUAUUCCAAUACCAACAUUAGUGUGCGAUGGAAGGACGCUUAGGGCUAAGGGGGCUAGCGGAUGGAAGUGCUAGUCUAAGGUCGUAGGAGGUUAUACAGGCAAAUCCGUAUAACAAUACUCCGAGAACUGAAAGGCUUUUUGAAGUCUUCGGAUGGAUAGAAGAACCCCUGAUGCCGUCGAGCCAAGAAAAGUUUCUAAGUUUAGCUAAUGUUGCCCGUACCGUAAACCGACACAGGUGGGUGGGAUGAGUAUUCUAAGGCGCGUGGAAGAACUCUCUUUAAGGAACUCUGCAAAAUAGCACCGUAUCUUCGGUAUAAGGUGUGGUUAGCUUUGUAUUAGGAUUUACUCCGAAAGCAAGGAAACUUACAACAAAGAGUCCCUCCCGACUGUUUACCAAAAACACAGCACUCUGCUAACUCGUAAGAGGAUGUAUAGGGUGUGACGCCUGCCCGGUGCUCGAAGGUUAAUUGAUGGGGUUAGCAUUAGCGAAGCUCUUGAUCGAAGCCCGAGUAAACGGCGGCCGUAACUAUAACGGUCCUAAGGUAGCGAAAUUCCUUGUCGGUUAAAUACCGACCUGCAUGAAUGGCGUAACGAGAUGGGAGCUGUCUCAAAGAGGGAUCCAGUGAAAUUGUAGUGGAGGUGAAAAUUCCUCCUACCCGCGGCAAGACGGAAAGACCCCGUGGACCUUUACUACAGCUUGACACUGCUACUUGGAUAAGAAUGUGCAGGAUAGGUGGGAGGCUUUGAGUAUAUG
rnacentral:rRNA from 1 species